rnacentral:tRNA from 1 species
GUUAGCAUAGCUUAAAGGUAAAGCAAAGCACUGUUAAUGCUUACAUAGAAGUUCGAUUCUUCUUGUUAACG